CGCGGCCUAUCAGCUUGUUGGUGAGGUAACGGCUCACCAAGCCGACGACGGGUAGCCGGUCUGAGAGGACGAUCGGCCCGAGGGGCACUGAGACACGGGCCCCACUCCUACGGGAGGCAGCAGUCGGGAAUUUUGGGCAAUGGGCGCAAGCCUGACCCAGCGACGCCGCGUGGAGGACGAAGCCCUUCGGGGUGUAAACUCCUUUAAGCAGGGACGAACGCAGACGGUACCUGCAGAAUAAGCCCCGGCUAACUACGUGCCAGCAGCCGCGGUAAUACGUAGGGGGCGAGCGUUGCCCGAAUUUACUGGGCGUAAAGCGCACGUAGGCGGCUCCGUAAGUCUGGUGUGAAAUCUCACGGCUCAACCGAGAGGCUGCACCAGAUACUGCGGAGCUCGAGGACGGGAGAGGAGAUUGGAAUUCCCGGUGUAGCGGUGAAAUGCAUUGAUAUCGGGAGGAACACCAGUGGCGAAGGCGGAUCUCUGGCCCGUUGCUGACGCUGAGGUGCGAAAGCUGGGGGAGCGAAAGGGAUUAGAUACCCCUGUAGUCCCAGCCCUAAACGAUGGGCGCUAGAUGUCGGGGAACACUCCUCGGUGUCGUAGCUAACGCAUUAAGCGCCCCGCCUGGGGAGUACGG
rnacentral:rRNA from 1 species